GGAAUCUCUAGCUAAGGGAUAGCUGAUAAAUAGAAUGAAAUAGAAAGAAAAAAGAAGGGGGGAAAACUGGAGAAAAUGGUACGUGAUGACCUUAAACUAAAGUAACAUCGAUUUCCAAAUACAAGGUGCACAAGGUUAAUCAAGAACUUCAUAUAAUUCAUCUCAUAAUUGAAUAAAAAAUUCCUCUUAUACUUCUAUUCAUUCAUGAAAAAGACAUUUGGAAGCCUAGAUGUUGAAGAGGUGUCAUAUAACUCUCACAACUAUCUUUCUUAUUUCCUCAAACUUUCAAGACCAAGAGAUGCCAACAGGCACAACCUA
rnacentral:misc_RNA from 1 species